GGGGGAAAUAAUUAGAUAUAAAAAUAGAUAUUAAAAAAUGGGGUUCCUUAUUGAAAAGUGUGACCAAAAAUACCCACUCUUUGAAUCUAAUAGAAUUUAUUUUAAAGUAUGAAAUAGGUGGCACUUAGUUCCAGACAGAAUUAACAAAAUGUUCCCAAUGAGGAUUCUCUUUGCUGGAGAUGUUGAGCAAUAACAUGCAGAUACCUACAUGUAUGCUGGGAGUGUGCUAUGAUUAAAGAUUUAUGGGGUAGAACCUAUCAGUUUAUCCUUACAAAUCUAAAUUACAAAAUAAAUCUCCAGAAGUGAGAUUUUAAUUGGCCUCCUAUGUGCUCUGUGAACAAAUUGAUUAUAACACAACUAUUUUUGGCAACAAAAUUAGUGAUUUCAAAACAUUGGAAAAAUGAAAAAAUAUAUACCUUGGCUAUUAGUCAAAAAACUAUUUGAAUUUCAGGUCAAGAUGGAACAACUGUUUAGUAAACCAAGCAUUAAAAAAAUACAGAAAAACAUUGCCUUGGGAUAUCUGCCUUGAAACGUUAAAUAUUACUCCAACCACAUUUAGUUGAUAGAACAACAGUAGCAUCUUAGGGAAUAAAAAGGGUAACAUAACAUAUUGUUUUUUAUGUCUG